rnacentral:tRNA from 1 species
GCGGAAGUAGCUCAGUAGGCAGAGCAUCAGCUUCCCAAGCUGAGGGUCGCGNNCGAAUCCCGUUUUCCGCUCAA